UCUUGCCUGGAGAAUCCCAGGGACAGGGGAGCCUGGUGGGCUGCUGUCUAUGGGGUCUCACAGAGUCGGACACUACUGAAGCGACUUAGCAGCAGCAGCAGCAGCAGCAGCAGCAGCAGCUUCCACAGAAGGAUUCAGGAGGAGCCAGGAUCCGAGGAAAGGAGCCCACCCAAAGCUGAGGUACCACAGCAGCAGACCUGGCACUGACCUGGCCUGUCCUGCCUGGUGGAACCAGAAGCAGCCAGCUACCUGUCCUGGGAUCUCCAUGCACCCAGGCGAGGCCCACCUUGGGACAGGGCAAGUUAGCUACAUCCACUGACCUUGGUGAGUGAUGUUUUGGAGAAAUCAAGCAAAAUGGAGUGAAUCUGAUACUCUAAUCCACGCAAGUACAGAGUGGAAAUGUCCGCAGGAGGCAAGACAUGAGAGAGAAAAUCCCACAGAAGCACAAACUUAGAGCCAGAAUAAGAACAAACAGUGACAUUGCACAGCUGUUGGGAACUCUGUCCAUGGACUGUUUGCUCCAGUCCUAGGGCCACGGACUGCCUACUCAGGAAGAGGACGUGAUUAUAUAUAACAAACCCACUGAAUAUCUGUUUUGUACCAGGCUGCCGGCCUUUGAAGAUACAAAGGUAAAUAAGACAUGAGCCCUGUAGCCGGCUGGAGAGGGGAGGGAGAGCCAUCUCCCCUGAAGACGUGCUGUUCUUUCCGGCUUUUGUUGCGUCUACACUGUCUCUAGUUGCCAUUAAGGCUGUUUUUGCCACCUUUUCCCCCACUUUUUCUUCCUCAACGUAUCUUGCUAUUUUCCUUUCCUUAAAGUUUCUCAGGUUCAGUAAUCUUCUUAGAAACCAGCUUUGGAAUUUUUCCAUUAUUGUUAGCCUCUAGGCUAUUAAUUUUUGCUUUUAUUUUUAUGUUUCUACUUUCUCUGUUCUCUUGAUUUUUAAAAUUGAAUAUGUAUCUCACUAACAUUCAGUCUUACAUUAUUAUCAGGAUAUUUUAAGUUAUAUAUUUUCCAACAGAGAGGUUUCACUGCAUCCACAAGUUUUCACGUGUGUUGUUUUAAUUUUUAGCUAUUAUUUUCCUAACCAUAAAUUAUUUUUCUUCAGCCUAUAAAUUAUUUCAGAGAGCAUUUGAAGGUUGCCAAAUAAAGAUUUUGUUUAUCUUUUUGAAAUUGAAGUUUUGUUUUAUUUCUUUUUUUAUUGAGAUAUAGUUGAUUAACGAUAUUGUGCCAAUCUCUGCUGUACAGCAAAGUGAUUCAGUUAUACGCCUCUAUUCUUUUUCAAUAUUCUUUUCCAUUAUAGUUUAUCACAGGAUAUUGAAUGUCGUUCCCUGUGCGAUACAUUAGGACCUUUUUGUUAGGAGUUUUGUUUUACUUCAUUGUGGUCAGAGAACAUGAAAAAAAAAUAGUUGGUCUUUUUUUGAGAUUUGGUUUAUGGUCUACUGUUGUGAAUCUUUUGUCAUGUGUUCUUGAAAAGAAUGUGUAUUCUCCAGUUUGGGGUUCAAGAUUUUAUACAUGACCUUCUGAUCAAGACUUAAUAAUGAGUUCUAUCAUAACAAUUUAUGACUUCUGUUUUUAUUCAAUUUUUGACCUUUUGAGCUUUGAGUUUCUGAAACAGGUAAAUGGAAAUCUCCCAUUCUAAUUGUAGUUUUAUUAAUUUUUCCUUGUAAUUCUGUCAAUUUUGCAUCAUGGAUUUCAAAACUAUGUUGCUAAGGGGAUGCAGAUUCAGUUAUUUUGUAUUUUGUUUGUUUGU